UAGUUCCAGCUAAGUUGGGAACCAUAGUUCAAAUUUUAAGUACAAACACGGUGUAAUUUUAGUGUAAUUAUGUUUUGUGAUGCGCAUUUGAUCAUAUACUAUAACAUGUUAAUUUGCGCAAUAUAAAUAUUAAUUAUUAUUAUUACACCAGACAUUUGUCGGUUGUCAGACAGUACUUAUUUUGAGAUCAGUGGAGUAAAUCGAACGUUAGGCGAGUGUCGUACGAAGACGAGCCGAGUAUAAAACACGUGAAAAGCUUGUUUUUCAACGUGUUGGUGUCAUGGUGUGAUAUGAAAUUUGUACUGAGAGAAUAGCACAAAAAAAGCACAGAUAAAAUAAAGAAGGAAGAGAAAUUAAGCAAAAGAUAAUAUUACAAAUAAUAAUGGAUACUACCACGGAAGAUAUGAACGAAUCGACGACGGUUGAGGGCGACAAACCUUCAUACAGCGAGCUUGUAAAAAUGGUCAACGAAGUUGCUAAGCCUUUGGCUGGAAAAAAAUUAACCAAGGCGUUAUAUAAAACGACUAAAAAAGGUACGUUGUGUAGAAUUCACUUUACUCUAUGCCUUAUGUUUUACUUGGAUCUAUGUCUUAUGUUUUACCUUUAUGGUAUUAUUGGUAUAAAAACUGAAAAACAUGCCUUGUGUUUUGGUUUUGCUAGUAUAAAUAUCAGAAACUAAUUUUCCCCCCUCCCCCUCUGGACAGCAGAAAUUUUCUCGGGGGGGGAGUGCAGAUCUUUUCUGGACGACUUAAUCGUCAAUAAUGUGCAACAAGUCAGGC